rnacentral:lncRNA from 1 species
CAUUCCUGAGGCUUCCACCCAAAAGAUUGGGUUUUGUUAACCUUAUAUACAUUUGAGCUUACUCUAUGACAUUCCAUGUUAGACAAACCUCUGGCCAUUAAUCUGCACUCUGACAACUUCCAACUUCCUGAUUUAAUUUGACCCAAUCCCAAGGAACUGGCCUGCAGGAGCCAGCACUCACCCCAGCAGAUGUCCCACACUGUGCAAAGCAGAGCAGUGCCCAUCGAGGCAGCAGAGUCUAACUUCCCUUGCCACUUCUAAGCAAACAACAAGGGACUAAAGCAAAAAGACUUACAGAUCAGUGUGAGAUUUGGUCACAAUUCCCCAGGUUUUCCCACCUGUUCUGGAUGCAAUCUCAAGUGGCAGAGACAAUUUGAUCCCUUUUAACGUGAAUAGAUUACACUAGCCAAGAGCAGAAAGAGAAGCCCGUGGUCUGUGUACAACUCCACACAUGCCUAAACUACAACAGUUCUGUGAACCCAUUUUGUCACAGAAAACUUUUAUUUCAAAAGCAGAGCCAUGUGAGCACAUUUUACAAUGAUCUGUUAUAAGACAGGAAAGUUUCACAUGAAGCAAAACAAAAAAGCUGUUCCUUCACACUCUUUCAGAGUUCAAGAGUUGUGGUCGAGCUCUGCUUACCUUACAACUUCAGCUCCAGGGACAUCUCUCAAGUGCAAAGCAGGAUGCCAAGGUGGAGUUUGUCCUGUGGAUGCCAGCAGCUUCUCAGUUUGCUGAGAAAUAAAGAGUGAGGUUGAUUUCAGAAGAAAUGAUCUUCACGAUGCUAAGAACACAAGGCGGGAUUUCAAAGGAAGGAACUUAAAGGCCUCAGCUUCAUAUGACUGACCUCAGCUUCUCGUGACCUCACCUGGCUGACCUCAGCUUCUCGUGACCUCACAUGACCAACCUUGCUUCUAAGGAGUGGUGUGAGACCCGUGAAGCCCUUACCAUUCUAAGAAUCUGAUGAGUAAGAAAGGACAAACACAUGACAGGGGAGAACAGGAAAAGAAAUCUUUUCUUCAUCAAAAUGCACCUCUUGAGUCAGGAAAGACUCUUGUCAGAGUCUGGACAGUCUAAUAUCUAUGCACCUUCCAGCAGGUUCUGACUGGGAGCACACUGUAUUUGUGAAGGGAGGCUUUGACUUCAGUGAGCAGAAAGAAUACUGACCUGCAGAGGAUCUGUUCCCCCUACCCCUUACGCCCCCCACCUCUCCCCUCAGCUUUCCUCUAUCCCCCAUCCCUGACACACACAUAAGGUUCCUGGGGAAAUGUUGGGCAUUGGGCUAUGCAAAGACAGUCUGGUCUCCAGUCGAGCUGAGAUGUUGAACCCCAGGACCCAGUGGUGAUAAUUCACCUACAUGGGACAGAAGGAGUUCUCUCAUGUCUCCUGGAACUCUGGCUCCUGUCAAAGUUACCACCCCCUCAGCCCCCACAAAAGAAGCAUGGUUAGUACUCACAUAGGCAAUGUCCCAACCUUCUGACCUUUAGGCUAGACUCCUCCCCAGUUACCUAGCAACAGAAAAGAUAGCAACAUACUUUAAGAGGGGCUGUUUGGCCCCUCCUUGCUCUCUCACUCCUCUCUCUCUCCUCUCUUGCUCUCUUUGUUUUCUCCUCUCCUCUCCUCUCCUCUCCUCUCCUCUCCUCUCCUCUCCUCUCCUCUCCUCUCCUCUCCUCUCCUCCUCUCUCUAGCCUUUCUUCACUCUCUCUUUUACCUUCUCUCUUUCCCCCUGCCUUUCUAUAAUACAGCUCUAAAACCUUAGUCUCUGCUCAUCAAGGCCCGCUGCGCAGACUCUUGCCUUUGUGGGAACCUCUCUCCCUAAGCCCUCUCUCCCAUAACCCCAGGACACAAUAACCCCAGGGCACAGGGUGUUGCUUCAGGCCCCUUGGUUUCGUGGGCUGCCCCUUGUCCACCCCCACCCCAGUCGAGUUGGGUCAGUGGCUAAGAUGCCCACCUGGGGCUGAGUGGAAAGCGUCUGACAACCCUCCCACAUCUGCCUGCCCAUAGCAUAGGUAGAACUCUAGCAAGAAAUGAGCUAUCCUCCCUCCCCACUCUUUUUCCAGCCCCUUUUUAGUUCCCACAGGGAAACAUUUACUUUGGCUGGUGAAGAACCUAAAUCUGAGAUAAUGGCACGAGUGAUGGGCCUCACAGCCAAUCAACUUUGAUUUUGAGGAGUUCAGCUAUGCUCCUUACAAUAAGACCAUCUCAGCUGUCUAGUUGAUGGUUUAUAUCCAUUUUACCUUCACAUAGAAGAGCAGGGUAUAGCUUGAGGCCCGAACAUCUGCCUAUGUCUGGCAACUCUGCACAUGGCCUAGAAAAAAAAAAAAAGGCUAGAAUAUACAGAGGCCAGAGAAGACUUGGGGACGGGGACUUCAUCUAUGCAGCUAUGGGUAGACUGCCAUCCUUGGGUAAGGUGUAGCGUAUGCCUCCUUUUGUGACUGUGACCUUGGUAGGAGGAGUAGACAUUGCUGAAGUCCCAUCCCUGGGAAGAAAUGCCUUCUAUUUAUCACAGCUUCACUCCAGCCUGAACGGUUUUAUUUUAGGAGAUUUCCUUUAACCUUUCUCAUUACUGUCCUCACCUUUGCUCUUUCUCAAACUGCAUUGUCAACCUGUAUGUCUACUGCAUACAAGUGUAAAUUGAUUGGAAAUCUCCCCCUCCCAAGACCCCCACACAAUAUAUACUUGACCUAUAUAGAUGAUUCAAUAAAUAUUGGUUGAUUUAAUAAUCAUUAAAAAGCUAAUAACUGACAGA